ensembl:lncRNA novel transcript
CUGCUGCACUGCACUUUAGCCUGGGCGACGAGCAAAACUCCUUCCCCACCACAAAAAAAAAAAAAAAAAAAAAAAAAAAGAAGAGAAACUACUGAAGCCAAAAAGCCUCCAAACUUGAAGAUCCCUCUUGCUAAGGAACAAUUACUUGACUUAGGCAUCUAGAUUGCUCUGUGUGUCUUGAGUAUACAUGAAGAGUAUAAACCCCCACCAACCAUCCAGGAUCAUUCAGCAACCCUCUGUGUGAAUUUGAGUUUUUUUUUUUUUUUAAUAUUGUAAGUUGUCUGGGUGUCCUUUCUGACCUUUUCUUCUAUGAAGUCCUGAAUUUCUAACUUGCUUCUAAAUUGCUGAAUGUCACAUUGUCCUGUUGUAGCUUUCUCUGAAAUGCACAGGAAAUGUCUGUAGGGUUGGCAAGCUCCUCCUCCCCCGACUUCACUCCUAUUCCACACAUGUACUUUCAGCAUUUGAGAGCCUGUCUUCUCUCUUAGCUCCCUUAAAAACAUUUGUAGUAUUUCCACUUUUUAUGAAGUUAAAAUGGUUUAUUUUCAAUCCACUGAGUUAGAAGGAUCAUGUCUAUCCUUAACCUUUGCCAAAUAUCCUUAAAAAUCAUUUUUUUCUUGGGAAACUUCCAUAAUGCCAUUCUUAUAAAUGCAUGCCAAGCCUGAGCCUGUGGGUGGUUUUCUUCAUCUGAACUUACUUUUCAAAUAUAGCAGUAUGAGACUUGAGGUAGGGGAAGCAGCAUCAGAAAUGGAAGGGCUGGAAACUAGACUCAGGACAUUGUUUAAAAUAAUCAGAAUAAAUACUUUCAUUUAUUUAACAUUCU